UACUGGAAAAUGGCCCUGUUGUGAUUUUGUUGUGCAUGACGUCACUACACGUGGGUGAGGUGAGGUAUACUUGAGCGCAUGGUGGGCGCUCCAAUCCGUUUAUGUUCGUGACUUCGUGUAUCUUCAAGAAGUUAGUCUUUGAGGAAUCGCUGGCAAGUACCUGCGUGAUGACAUUGAUGGACUCUGACAAGUUUGGCCUCGCAGAAAAUGAUGAAGAUGACUCUGAUGUUAGCUGUAGCACAGACAGUGAAGAUUUGGGAAGGCCUCAUUGCCAGGUGAAUGUACUGCCAUGGCUGCCUACAUGAACGCUGAGGCUGGCCAGCGUCAUGGUGCCAGUGGACUGACCGACGAAAUCUCCAAAGUGAAGAGACGGGUUACGUCAUAAGUAGCACAGACCUCCUUAUAUGAAAGCUGUGGGCAUACCCCAGGAGAAGCAGACCAUGAUGCUGAUGAGAAGAGCACCCUCGCCUCCUCCAACCUGGAGAGAAGGAGGAUGGAGGACAAGAUCCUGUGGGACUGCACAGAGAUGAUUCAUGAGAAUGUCAAGGAGAGGAAGUAACUCAGAUAGA